GCAAUAUGAGGAGACUUAAUACCUUCAAUAACGGUUGAUCUAGCUGCAACAAAAGCACCAGAGCUAUCUCUGAAAAUAGCACCAAAACCACAUUUAAGCUCAGGAGCAAAGAUAGCUGCAUCAGAGUUGCAUUUCAAAUAACCAACUGUGGCUUAACCCAAUGAGAAGAAGUAACUUGGUGAUGAUUAGAAAGAUGACAAUCUAGAGAAAAAACUUUUGCAGCAUCCCAAUCUGAUAAGAAACCCAAAACUUCCCAAACAACAUCCUAAGAAGAACGGAUUUUGUCUUGCCAAAUAAGAAGAUUUUGAGCAGCCCAGACCGUCCACAACACCAUGCAACUACGGAGACAAAGAGAGUGAUCUUGCUGUUGCAUAAAAGAAUCA
rnacentral:misc_RNA from 1 species